AGUGAACGCUGGCGGUAGGCCUAACACAUGCAAGUCGAACGGCAGCACAGUAAGAGCUUGCUCUUACGGGUGGCGAGUGGCGGACGGGUGAGGAAUACAUCGGAAUCUACUUUUUCGUGGGGGAUAACGUAGGGAAACUUACGCUAAUACCGCAUACGACCUACGGGUGAAAGCAGGGGAUCUUCGGACCUUGCGCGAUUGAAUGAGCCGAUGUCGGAUUAGCUAGUUGGCGGGGUAAAGGCCCACCAAGGCGACGAUCCGUAGCUGGCCUGAGAGGAGGAUCAGCCACACUGGAACUGAGACACGGUCCAGACUCCGACGGGAGGCAGCAGGGGGGAAUAUUGGACAAUGGGCGCAAGCCUGAUCCAGCCAUACCGCGUGGGUGAAGAAGGCCUUCGGGUUGUAAAGCCCUUUUGUUGGGAAAGAAAAGCAGCAGGUUAAUACCCCGCUGUUCUGACGGUACCCAAAGAAUAAGCACCGGCUAACUUCGU
rnacentral:rRNA from 1 species